CGUUGGCCGCCGGGCUAGCCGCCGGCGGGGCUCCAGGCCGGGACGGUCGGGGAUGGUUCCACAGAGGACCCAGCCGUCUGCCCCGAGCUGGGCGCUGCGCGGCUGCUCCGGGGGAAGCUUGGUGAGGAGGAGUCGGGCCAGCCGGUGAUGCCUGCGCCUCUUGCGCAUGCUGACCCCCUCAAGGAGCGGGGCCAGAGAAUCGCUCCUUUCUGGCAGGGACUGUGGCCGCUUUCGGCCUGGGAAUGAAGCGACGUAGCCUGCUGGGGCUGUGAGCCAUCGGGCAACGCCCUUCUCAGAGCCUGUGUCCUGGCCGGGACGGGGAGAAAGAGGACUCCUGGGAUGGAAGGUGCACACCCAGGCAGCUGGAAGCGCUCAGUCACAGCCCGGGGACUCGUCCCCUCUGCGAUACGGAUUCGGAGCUGCUUCUGAAGCAGAAUGGUGUCAGAGGACCCAGAGCUGGCAUUAGGAUACAGGUGCACACAUUCCAGACAGACCUGGGGGUGGCAUCCAGGAGAAGGCUUAUAAGUUCCCUGGAUGGGGCCUCUGUGCCAUGCAACAAGGGACACAAGAACAGGGCUUGGGGUCCAGGCUGGCGGUGGCAUGCCUGCCACCUGCAGACCCUGGUCAGUGCAGGAUGGUGCCUCCAACACGGGCUAGGCUGCCAAGGCUGAGGACACAGGGCCAGCGAGCCUGCCCAGCCACGUGCUGCAGGGGCCUCAGAGACCUGGGCUGCGGUGCCAGGUCUCUAGGCAGUGCCCUCUGUGCCUGCAGGGACUGAUUCUGGCACAGUGACCGCAGAACCUGGGGGGCGGAGCACAUGCCCCCGGAAGGCUGUGAAAUCCCGCCAGUGGCAGUGACAGAGGCGAAUAUGAGGGUCCUCAGAGGAAAAACAAAGAAGAUAGGAGCAGCAGAAAAUGGCCCCCACGAGGAUCUGAGCCAACCUCGCCACCCCUAGGGCUCCCGGCCCUGCUUCCCUGGGAAAGCCUGGCCAUGUGGGUCACCCCUGUGAGCAUACCCUUUCUGAGUGUCUGAUGGCCAGUUUGCCAGUUUUGUUUCCAAAUGUGUAUGCACCAAACAACAGAGCCUCAAAAUCCAUGAAGCAAAUCUGAUAGAGCUGAAGAUGUAGACAAAUCUGCAAUUAUAGUGGAGGACUCAAAAUCUCUUUGUCAGAAGUUGAUAGAACUACUCUAAGAAAAUCAGCAGGGAUAUAGAAGAACUCAAUAAUACCAUUGACCUGGAGGGUCUGCUUGACACCGAUAGAACACUCCACCCAACAACAGCAGAACAUACAUUCUUUUCAAAUGCCCAUGGAACAUUUGCCAAGAUGGGACACACUAUACACUUCAAUGAAUUUAAAAGAAUCGAAGUCACAGGAUGCACUGUCUAACCUCAUGGUGGAAGAUGAGGACACCAAGCAUGAAGCUGGCCAGCCCCGUGGGGAGGCAGGUGGGACCAUCCAGUUGCAGGAAAACAAGCUUAACACGCC
rnacentral:lncRNA from 10 species